CGCCUUGCCAGCCCGCUCAGAAACUUAAAUGAUUUGACGGGGGCCCGCACAAGCGGUGGAGUAUGUGGUUUAAUUCGAUGCAACGCGAAGAACCUUACCUGGUCUUGACAUCCCGGAGACCCUUAGGAAACUAGGGGGUGCUUCCAUCUGGAAGAAUCUGGAGACAGGUGCUGCAUGGCUGUCGUCAGCUCGUGUCGUGAGAUGUUGGGUUAAGUCCCGCAACGAGCGCAACCCUUGCCUUUAGUUGCCAGCAGUUCGGCUGGGCACUCUAAAGGGACUGCCGGUGUUAAACCGGAGGAAGGUGGGGAUGACGUCAAGUCCUCAUGGCCUUUAUAACCAGGGCUACACACGUACUACAAUGGCCGAUACAAAGGGCAGCGACACUGCGAGGUGAAGCCAAUCCCGUAAAAUCGGUCUCAGUCCGGAUUGGAGUCUGCAACUCGACUCCAUGAAGUUGGAAUCGCUAGUAAUCGUGGAUCAGCAUGCCACGGUGAAUACGUUCCCGGGCCUU
rnacentral:rRNA from 1 species